rfam:TPA: Bos taurus chromosome 2, whole genome shotgun sequence.
UCUCUGGGGGUUUAGUAGCUGAGACUCUGUGCUCCAAAUGCAGGGGACCCAGGUUCAAUCCCUGGUUAGGGAA